rnacentral:rRNA from 1 species
GACGAACGCUGGCGGCGUGCUUAACACAUGCAAGUCGAACGGUGAAGCGCCUUCCUUUUUGGUGGGUGUGGAUGAGUGGCGAACGGGUGAGUAACACGUGAGUAACCUGCCCCCUUCUUCUGGAUAACCGCAUGAAAGUGUGGCUAAUACGGGAUAUUCUGGGUCUGUCGCAUGAUGGGUCUGGGACAGAUAUUGUUUCGGUGGGGGAUGGGCUCGCGGCCUAUCAGCUUGUUGGUGGGGUGAUGGCCUACCAAGGCGGUGACGUGUAGCCGGCCUGAGAGGGUGGACGGCCACACUGGGACUGAGACACGGCUCGGACUGCUACGGGAGGCAGCAGUGGGGAAUAUGGCACAAUGGGCGAAAGCCUGAUGCGGCGACGCCGCGUGAGGGAUGGAGGCCUUCGGGUUGUGAACCUCUUUCGCCAGUGAAGCAGGCCUGCCUCGUUUGUGGGUGGGUUGACGGUAGCUGGAUAAGAAGCGCCGGCUAACUACGUG